UAGUGAGUGAGUGAGUGAGUGAGUGGAUGAGUGAGUGACCCACCCAGCGUAAACAUACAUAUUCACAGUGAGAAUUUGACCGAGCCUCUGUCACUUAAUGGUAAUUUCAAUCUCUUUGUUUCAACCACUAGAGACGCCCAACUUCCCCCCCGUUCCUAACACAAGAUACCAGGUUCCUUUGUGUGAGGGCUAGACUCAACUUUACACCUAAAUACAAGACCCUGCAGGACAUCCCAGGUGUAAGAUACAACCACGGGGGGUCGGCACCAAUUAGACAAAUGGGUGUGAAAACUCUCUGGGGAGGGGGCGGCCCCUGCAACAGACAAAGGGAUGUGAAACAUAUGCUGAGGGGUGUUCCUCAGGUAUUAGUAUUCGGGAUUUUUCUUUAACUGUUCACGUGUUGAUUGACCUUUUCUUUGCAAAGAAAAUAAAACCUUGUCGGUCGGCAAAAGUCUCUAUUUCAUUCCUCAUCAGCAGCAGAGGGAACUUCCACAACAGUGGGUAUAUGUUUUUUUUUUUUUUACAAACAGCAAGAACAACACCAUCAAUCAGCUGGAGCAGUUCAGGCUCUCGUCAGUCUUCAGGACAUGUUUCUAACACACUCAGUCCAAGCAAAUCCCAGUCAAUUCUCCCCCUGCACAAACAGCUGUAACUGUCAGAUAAUCACUGCUGCUGCUGGCUCACAUGUCCCCCGUGUCCCUCACACUCUACAGUCCUGGAUUAUAGACAGAUCCUGAAGGUUUUUGGCCCCUGUGCAAACCCCUUUUUGAUAAACGUACAGGUCACCUCCAGUGGAAGACCAGGUAUCUUGUGCACCUGGAUCCUAUUAGAAGGAUCUGGUGUUUAAUACUGCGUCCACACAUACAGCUACAGUCGUGGUUUCAGAGGGAUGGUCAAAUGAGUGAUGAGGAAAACCAAGAAAAACUGUCGGUGGUGUUGAAGCAGCUGUUUUCCCGGCUCUGUGUGGACACACUACAGCGACCCGUCAGCG